UUUGGAAUCCCCUAUGAGUGUAGAAUGUUAGGUAAAAAUUUCAUCAAAUUUGGAGUCUGGAAAGUGGAUCAAACCCGGGAUGAAGUAACCGGCUGUCGGUCCGGGUUACUGUUCAUCCGGGUGGAAAAUAGGGGAUUUCAUGCUAUAAUAAGGUAUUAAGCCUAGAUUAGGCUAAGGGAGAUCUUGUACUCAUGCAAGGGAGUCCUUAAUACACAUAAAUGACGAGUUAAUUAAUAGAAAAAGAAAAAAGAAAAGAAAAGAAAAGAUUUAGGGAACGGGGGAGUUGAAUCAAUUAAAGUCCCCUAUAUUAUAAUUGGCACGUAGAUUAUAGCCCUUGAUACAAGACUAAAUGUAUUGUAAAUGCAUGUCACAGUUGGGCAAGAAGCUAGGGAACAAGAGGAAGAAGUUCCCCACUGCCUGCUGUAGAUUUUUGGAGGCGUAUCAGGACUGUGCCGGAUUGACAGGUGAGUGGGAACUUGUACUUUGCACCAUGAGCACAUUCCUUAUUCAUUUUCAUGAAUGUUGCCAAGUGUGACUUGAUUCCACCUGAGCUUAUUGAUUAAUUAUUGUAGUAGAUUCCUCUAUAAUCUUGAUUCUCUAUGCUUGAUUAUUUUGUACAUGCAUUUGAGGAAACAUUGAGAGGAAUUACGNNNNNNNNNNNNNNNNNNNNNNNNNNNNNNNNNNNNNNNNNNNNNNAUUUUGUAAAUUGAUUUCAUUUCCUCUAUUUCAAAGACUUAUGAGUGGUAGCCUUGAUUAUACUCUUUUAUGAGUAGUUAAAUUGGAUCUGAAUUGUGAAAUGAUUUCUUUUGUAAAUUGAUUUCAUUUCCUCUAUUUCAAAAACUUGUGAGUGGUAGCUUUGAUUAUACUCGUUUAUGAGUAAUUAAAUUGGAUCUGAAUUGUGAAAUGACUUCUUUUGUAAAUUGAUUUCAUUUCCUCUAUUUCAAAGAUUUGUAGAGCCCUUCUCAUGGUAUAUUGAGUUGUAUUGCACACCUUUGACCCCUCACUACCAACCCUGAUGUUAGUUUAUGAUUGGGUCGGAGUCGAGUGAGUGGUAGUCUUGAUCAUACUCCUUUUUAGUUGAGUACUGGGAGGGUGCAUUAUGGCAUUUAUGCAUGGCUUGACAGUAUCUGCAGGACACCUAUAGUCGAUGGGGGUUGAACAUCGGCCUUUGUGCACAUAGUAGCCUUCUGGGUGGGCGGAGCCCAGUCCCUUCCUAGGGGGGACACGGCCCUAGGCGUAGGAUCGGCCGGUCCUACGACUUAUAUUCUGCUUGCCGCCGGGCAUAGUAAGACCCCGCGAGGUGCAGUAUGGCUUUCCGCGGAUGUAGAAUUCCCGCGAGGUGCCGUUUAGUAUGUAGAUGUGAGAUGGAUUUCUGUUCUGGAUACUGGCCGGCAUUUACAUGAUUAGUGUGGUGUCUUAUUCCUGCAUAUGCAUGUGACAGUAGGGAGUUGUUGCUGGUUCGCCUGGGGCGUAAAACCCACCUCCCGAUAGCUAUCUAGCACUUAUAUUAUUAGUAUGGUGUCUUAUUCUGCAUAUGCAUGUGACAGUAGGGAGUUGUUGCUGGUUCGCCUGGGGCGUAAAACCCACCUCCCGGCAGCUAUCUAGUGAUGAUUUCAGUAUAUUGACACCUGAUUUGUAUGUUCCAGCAUUAUUAUCUGUUGAGCAUAUUCAUGAGUAGCAUAUAUGUUUACUUGAUUAUUCCAUAUAUGCUUCAGAUGAGUUGAUAUUGAUUGUGGUGAUAUUGAUGAUUUACUCCAUAUUCUCUAUGUUGAGAUCAUGUUCAUCUUGUUAUUGCUCUUGAGAUUUCACCUCGAGCCAUGAUUAUAUCUUGUCUCAUGUGCAUAGUACUCUCUACUCCACUUACUGAGUAUUUAUAUACUCACUCCCCAGUUUGGUGUUUUUAAUUGCAGGGCAGGUAUUGUAUAGAGAAGAGCAGGAUUAGAGAUUGCCUGCUAGCUGUGCCGCUCCAUAGUAUAGUAUAGUAUAAUGUAAAUAGAGGUUUAUACCUUUUGGUGUAUUAUAAACCUUCUAUUGUAUAUAGUGCAUAGUUACAGUCAUAGAUCCUGUUGUGGAUAUGGGUUUGACCAUGGAUGAAUUGGGAAGCAGGCAUAUAUAUAUGUGUGCAGAUCAGUUGUGUGCCUGUGAUAAUGUAUUGCUAUAUAUUGUCCAGGUUUAUUAUGUGACANNN
rnacentral:lncRNA from 1 species